rnacentral:lncRNA from 1 species
AUUUACAAAGACAAAUUAGGGAACAUGAGAAAUUAGUUAAAACACAAAGUGGCCAGACUCGAAGAUCUAUUUCCUCAGAUUCUUCUUCAAGUAAGAAGCUUAAAGGGAGACAACAGGGCGUUCUGCAGUCUAUGCUGCAAAACUUCCGGCGCCCCAACUGCUGUGUCCGUCCUGCUCCGUCCUCAGUGCUGGACUAAAAGGGAACUGCACUGUUGUAUGAGCUGUGGUAUUCCUUGUGUCUGUUCGUGUCGAAGCUUAGAAGUUUGGAUUUCUGAGUUUGUUUUUUGUUUUGUUUUGUUUUGGGGGCGGGUGAUUGUUGUUGUUUCCUACGAGACUUAGGAGUAAAAGCAACUAUU